UAAUCCAAAAGGCAAACCAUCCGAAAGGUUGGGACGCAAAGCCAUGGAUCUAAGGCAGGUUUUAUAUGCUAAGAUUGCCAGGUUGCGGAG
rnacentral:ncRNA from 1 species